GACAGAGGUGCCGAGCGUUAGGCGGAAUCACUGGGCUUAAAGCGUGUGUAGGCGGGCGAACAAGUACCUUGUGAAAUCCCACGGCUCAACCGUGGAACUGCUGGGUAUACUGUUUGUCUUGAGCCAACUAGGGGCGAGCGGAACAGACGGUGGAGCGGUGAAAUGCGUAGAUAUCGUAAGGAAGACCAGUGGCGAAGGCGGGUCUCUGGACAGUUCCUGACGCUGAGGCACGAAGGUCAGGGGAGCAAACGGG
rnacentral:rRNA from 1 species